GACGAACGCUGGCGGCGUGCUUAACACAUGCAAGUCGAACGAAGAGCGAUGGAAGCUUGCUUCUAUCAAUCUUAGUGGCGAACGGGUGAGUAACGCGUAAUCAACCUGCCCUUCAGAGAGGGACAACAGUUGGAAACGACUGCUAAUACCGCAUACGAUCUAAUCUCGGCAUCGAGGAUAGAUGAAAGGUGGCCUCUACAUGUAAGCUAUCACUGAAGGAGGGGAUUGCGUCUGAUUAGCUAGUUGGAGGGGUAACGGCCCACCAAGGCGAUGAUCAGUAGCCGGUCUGAGAGGAUGAACGGCCACAUUGGGACUGAGACACGGCCCAGACUCCUACGGGAGGCAGCAGUGGGGAAUCUUCCGCAAUGGACGAAAGUCUGACGGAGCAACGCCGCGUGAGUGAUGACGGCCUUCGGGUUGUAAAGCUCUGUUAAUCGGGACGAAAGGCCUUCUUGCGAAUAGUGAGAAGGAUUGACGGUACCGGAAUAGAAAGCCACGGCUAACUACGUG
rnacentral:rRNA from 1 species